rnacentral:rRNA from 1 species
GGGUUGUGAGGUUAAGCGACUAAGCGUACACGGUGGAUGCCCUGGCAGUCAGAGGCGAUGAAGGACGUGCUAAUCUGCGAAAAGCGUCGGUAAGGUGAUAUGAACCGUUAUAACCGGCGAUGUCCGAAUGGGGAAACCCAGUGCAAUUCGUUGCACUAUCGUUAACUGAAUACAUAGGUUAACGAGGCGAACCGGGGGAACUGAAACAUCUAAGUACCCCGAGGAAAAGAAAUCAACCGAGAUUCCCCCAGUAGCGGCGAGCGAACGGGGAGCAGCCCAGAGUCUGAAUCAGCUUGUGUGUUAGUGGAACGGUCUGGAAAGUCCGACGGUACAGGGUGAUAGUCCCGUACACCAAAAUGCACAGGUUGUGAACUCGAAGAGUAGGGCGGGACACGUGGUAUCCUGUCUGAAUAUGGGGGGACCAUCCUCCAAGGCUAAAUACUCCUGACUGACCGAUAGUGAACCAGUACCGUGAGGGAAAGGCGAAAAGAACCCCGGCGAGGGGAGUGAAAAAGAACCUGAAACCGUGUACGUACAAGCAGUGGGAGCACCUUCGGGUGUGACUGCGUACCUUUUGUAUAAUGGGUCAGCGACUUAUAUUCUGUAGCAAGGUUAACCGUAUAGGGGAGCCGCAGGGAAACCGAGUCUUAACUGGGCGUUAAGUUGCAGGGUAUAGACCCGAAACCCGGUGAUCUAGCCAUGGGCAGGUUGAAGGUUGGGUAACACUAACUGGAGGACCGAACCGACUAAUGUUGAAAAAUUAGCGGAUGACUUGUGGCUGGGGGUGAAAGGCCAAUCAAACCGGGAGAUAGCUGGUUCUCCCCGAAAGCUAUUUAGGUAGCGCCUCGUGAACUCAUCUUCGGGGGUAGAGCACUGUUUCGGCUAGGGGGUCAUCCCGACUUACCAACCCGAUGCAAACUACGAAUACCGAAGAAUGUUAUCACGGGAGACACACGGCGGGUGCUAACGUCCGUCGUGAAGAGGGAAACAACCCAGACCGCCAGCUAAGGUCCCAAAGUCAUGGUUAAGUGGGAAACGAUGUGGGAAGGCACAGACAGCCAGGAUGUUGGCUUAGAAGCAGCCAUCAUUUAAAGAAAGCGUAAUAGCUCACUGGUCGAGUCGGCCUGCGCGGAAGAUGUAACGGGGCUAAACCAUGCACCGAAGCUGCGGCAGCGACACUAUGUGUUGUUGGGUAGGGGAGCGUUCUGUAAGCCUGCGAAGGUGUGCUGUGAGGCAUGCUGGAGGUAUCAGAAGUGCGAAUGCUGACAUAAGUAACGAUAAAGCGGGUGAAAAGCCCGCUCGCCGGAAGACCAAGGGUUCCUGUCCAACGUUAAUCGGGGCAGGGUGAGUCGACCCCUAAGGCGAGGCCGAAAGGCGUAGUCGAUGGGAAACAGGUUAAUAUUCCUGUACUUGGUGUUACUGCGAAGGGGGGACGGAGAAGGCUAUGUUAGCCGGGCGACGGUUGUCCCGGUUUAAGCAUGUAGGCUGGUUAUCCAGGCAAAUCCGGAUAA